rnacentral:lncRNA from 1 species
AAUAAUACCACUAAAUUACUGGAAUGGUAAAUAAAAAUAAUUCUCUACAAUAAUGACAGAAAACAGAAGAAAAACAAAAUAAACAGAUAAAUUUCAAACACUGAUUUAUAAAUCAUACACACAUAAUAAUUCAGAUUAAAUGCUAAUGUUUUCAUGAGGGGGUUUAUUGCAAAAUAAUAAUUUGGAAUGCACCCAUGGUUACCAUGCAGGGAAAAAUUAAUGACAACAUCCAGAAAUUGAUGUUGAAUUAAACAUUCUCAAAAUUAAUAUAUUUAAGGUGGUACCUAACACUACAGAAAGAUAACUCUCAAAAA